rnacentral:rRNA from 1 species
GAUGAACGCUAGCGGCAGGCUUAAUACAUGCAAGUCGAGGGGUAGCAAGAUUGUAGCAAUACAAUUGUUGACGACCGGCAAACGGGUGCGGAACACGUACACAACCUUCCUACAAGUGGGGAAUAGCCCAGAGAAAUUUGGAUUAAUACCCCGUAACAUAGCGAUGUGGCAUCACAUUGCUAUUAUAGCUUCGGCGCGUGUUGAUGGGUGUGCGGCUGAUUAGAUAGUUGGCGGGGUAACGGCCCACCAAGUCUACGAUCAGUAGCUGAUGUGAGAGCAUGAUCAGCCACACGGGCACUGAGACACGGGCCCGACUCCUACGGGAGGCAGCAGUAAGGAAUAUUGGACAAUGGACGCAAGUCUGAUCCAGCCAUGCCGCGUGAAGGAUUAAGGUCCUCUGGAUUGUAAACUUCUUUUAUAAGGGACGAAAAAAGGUCUUUCUAGAUCGUCUGACGGUACCUUAUGAAUAAGCACCGGCUAACUCCGUGCCAGCCGCCGCAGUAAUAC